rnacentral:rRNA from 1 species
ACCAGACUCCUACGGGAGGCAGCAGUGGGGAAUAUUGCACAAUGGGGGGAACCCUGAUGCAGCGACGCCGCGUGGGUGAAGGAGUACUUCGGUACGUAAAGCCCUAUCAGCAGGAAAGAAAAUGACGGUACCUGACUAAGAAGCCCCGGCUAACUACGUGCCAGCAGCCGCGGUAAUACGUAGGGGGCAAGCGUUAUCCGGAUUUACUGGGUGUAAAGGGAGCGUAGACGGUAGAGCAAGUCUGAAGUGAAAGCCCGCGGCUCAACUGCGGGACUGCUUUGGAAACUGUUCAACUGGAGUGCUGGAGAGGUAAGCGGAAUUCCUAGUGUAGCGGUGAAAUGCGUAGAUAUUAGGAGGAACACCAGUGGCGAAGGCGGCUUACUGGACAGUAACUGACGUUGAGGCUCGAAAGCGUGGGGAGCAAACAGGAUUAGAUACCCGUGUAGC